GCACCGGUAGCUCAGUUGGAUAGAGCGGCGGUCUUCGAAACCGCAGGUCAGAGGUUCGAGUCCUCUCCGGUGUA
rnacentral:tRNA from 1 species